rnacentral:rRNA from 1 species
GUUGUAUAGUCAAGUAAUUAAGUGCAUGUGGUGGAUGCCUUGGCAGUCAGAGGCGAUGAAAGACGUGAUAGCCUGCGAAAAGCUCCGGGGAGGCGGCAAAUAUCCUUUGAUCCGGAGAUGUCUGAAUGGGGGAACCCACCUACUUUAAGGUAGGUAUUGCAACAUGAAUACAUAGUGUUGCAAGGCGAACGAGGGGAAGUGAAACAUCUCAGUACCCUUAGGAAAAGAAAUCAAUUGAGAUUCCCUCAGUAGCGGCGAGCGAACGGGGAUCAGCCCAUUAAGUUAUGUGUGUUUUAGUGGAACGCUCUGGGAAGUGCGAACGUAGAGGGUGAUAUUCCCGUACACGAAAGGGCACACAUAAUGAUGACGAGUAGGGCGAGGCACGUGAAACCUUGUCUGAAUAUGGGGGGACCAUCCUCCAAGGCUAAAUACUCCUGACUGACCGAUAGUGAACCAGUACCGUGAGGGAAAGGCGAAAAGAACCCCUGUGAGGGGAGUGAAAUAGAUCCUGAAACCGCAUGCAUACAAGCAGUGGGAGCACCUUCGUGGUGUGACUGCGUACCUUUUGUAUAAUGGGUCAGCGACUUAUAUUCAGUAGCAAGGUUAACCGUAUAGGGGAGCCGUAGAGAAAUCGAGUCUUAAUAGGGCGUUUAGUUGCUGGGUAUAGACCCGAAACCAGGCGAUCUAUCCAUGAGCAGGUUGAAGGUUGGGUAACACUAACUGGAGGACCGAACCCACUGUCGUUGAAAAGCCAGGGGAUGACUUGUGGAUAGGGGUGAAAGGCUAAUCAAGCCUGGUGAUAGCUGGUUCUCCCCGAAAGCUAUUUAGGUAGCGCCUCGGACGAAUACCAUAGGGGGUAGAGCACUGUUUCGGCUAGGGGGUCAUCCCGACUUACCAAACCGAUGCAAACUCCGAAUACCUAUGAGUACUAUCCGGGAGACAGACUGCGGGUGCUAACGUCCGUAGUCAAGAGGAAAACAAUCCAGACCGCCAGCUAAGGCCCCAAAAUCAUAGUUAAGUGGGAAACGAUGUGGGAAGGCAUAGACAGCUAGGAGGUUGGCUUAGAAGCAGCCACCCUUUAAAGAAAGCGUAAUAGCUCACUAGUCGAGUCGGCCUGCGCGGAAGAUGUAACGGGGCUAAAACUAUGUGCCGAAGCUGCGGAUNNNNNNNNNNNNNNNNNNNNNNNNNNNNNNNNNNNNNNNNNNNNNNNNNNNNNNNNNUGCUGGAGGUAUCAGAAGUGCGAAUGCUGACGUGAGUAACGACAAAACGGGUGAAAAACCCGUUCGCCGAAAGACCAAGGGUUCCAGUCCAACGUUAAUCGGGGCUGGGUGAGUCGACCCCUAAGGCGAGGCCGAAAGGCGUAGUCGAUGGGAAAAUGGUUAAUAUUCCAUUACUUCUGUGUAAUGCGAUGAGAGGACGGAGAAGGCUAAAUCAGCCUGGCGUUGGUUGUCCAGGUGAAAGGAUGUAGGCAUGUAUCUUAGGCAAAUCCGGGGUACUCUAUGCUGAGAUCUGAUAGCAAGCUGUACUUGUACAGCGAAGUGGUUGAUGCCAUGCUUCCAGGAAAAGUCUCUAAGCUUCAGUUACACAGGAAUCGUACCCGAAACCGACACAGGUGGUCAGGUCGAGUAGACCAAGGCGCUUGAGAGAACUCUGCUGAAGGAACUAGGCAAAAUGGUACCGUAACUUCGGGAGAAGGUACGCUGUUGUUGGUGAUGGAACUCGCUUCCUGAGCUGACGACAGCCGCAGAAACCAGGCCGCUGCAACUGUUUAUUAAAAACAUAGCACUCUGCAAACACGAAAGUGGACGUAUAGGGUGUGAUGCCUGCCCGGUGCUGGAAGGUUAAUUGAUGGGGUUAGCGUAAGCGAAGCUCUUGAUCGAAGCCCCAGUAAACGGCGGCCGUAACUAUAACGGUCCUAAGGUAGCGAAAUUCCUUGUCGGGUAAGUUCCGACCUGCACGAAUGGCAUAAUGAUGGCGGCGCUGUCUCCAGCAGAGGCUCAGUGAAAUCGAAAUCGCUGUGAAGAUGCAGUGUACCCGCGGCUAGACGGAAAGACCCCGUGAACCUUUACUGCAGCUUGACACUGAACUUUGACCUUACUUGUGUAGGAUAGGUGGGAGGCUUUGAAGCUGGAACGCUAGUUCCAGUGGAGCCGUCCUUGAAAUACCACCCUGGUAAUGUUGAGGUUCUAACUCUGUCCCGUGAUCCGGGACGAGGACCGUGUCUGGUGGGUAGUUUGACUGGGGCGGUCUCCUCCUAAAGAGUAACGGAGGAGUACGAAGGUGCGCUCAGCGUGGUCGGAAAUCACGCGUAGAGUAUAAAGGCAAAAGCGCGCUUAACUGCGAGACCCACAAGUCGAGCAGGUACGAAAGUAGGUCUUAGUGAUCCGGUGGUUCUGUAUGGAAGGGCCAUCGCUCAACGGAUAAAAGGUACUCUGGGGAUAACAGGCUGAUACCGCCCAAGAGUUCAUAUCGACGGCGGUGUUUGGCACCUCGAUGUCGGCUCAUCUCAUCCUGGGGCUGAAGCAGGUCCCAAGGGUAUGGCUGUUCGCCAUUUAAAGAGGUACGCGAGCUGGGUUUAGAACGUCGUGAGACAGUUCGGUCCCUAUCUACCGUGGGCGCUGGAAAUUUGAGAGGAUCUGCUCCUAGUACGAGAGGACCAGAGUGGACGAACCUCUGGUGUACCGGUUGUGACGCCAGUCGCAUCGCCGGGUAGCUAUGUUCGGAAGGGAUAACCGCUGAAAGCAUCUAAGCGGGAAGCCUACCUCAAGAUAAGAUUUCCCUAGGACUUUAUGUCCUCUAAAGAGCCGUUCGAGACUAGGACGUUGAUAGGUUGGAUGUGGAAGCAUAGUGAUAUGUGAAGCUGACCAAUACUAAUUGCUCGUGAGGCUUGACUAUACAACACCCAAGCAGUUG